GACGAACGCUGGCGGCGUGCCUAAUACAUGCAAGUAGAACGCACAGUUUAUACCGUAGCUUGCUACACCAUAGACUGUGAGUUGCGAACGGGUGAGUAACGCGUAGGUAACCUGCCUGGUAGCGGGGGAUAACUAUUGGAAACGAUAGCUAAUACCGCAUAAUAUUGAUUAUUGCAUGAUAAUUAAUUGAAAGGUGCAAUUGCACCACUACCAGAUGGACCUGCGUUGUAUUAGCUAGUAGGUGAGGUAACGGCUCACCUAGGCGACGAUACAUAGCCGACCUGAGAGGGUGAUCGGCCACACUGGGACUGAGACACGGCCCAGACUCCUACGGGAGGCAGCAGUAGGGAAUCUUCGGCAAUGGACGAAAGUCUGACCGAGCAACGCCGCGUGAGUGAAGAAGGUUUUCGGAUCGGAAAGCUCUGUUGUAAGAGAAGAACGGGUGUGAGAGUGGAAAGUUCACACUGUGACGGUAUCUUACCAGAAAGGGACGGCUAACUACGUG
rnacentral:rRNA from 1 species